ensembl:snRNA U6 U6 spliceosomal RNA
GUGCUUGUUUCGGCAGCAGAUGCACUAAAAUUAGGAUGACACAGGGAAGAUGAGCACGGCCCUGCUCAAGAACGACAUGCAAAUUCAUAUAGUGUUCCCUAGUUUU